AUUCGUUUCUUUUCCCAUGUUUAGGUGAUUGAUAAAAGUGAAGUGAAAUGUGGUUGAUAGGCUGGUUUCUAAGAAUAGGAACUAACUGAUCAAUCAAGUUUCUCACAAAGUUCUACCUGGUCAGUGAUUGUUUUACUUUGCUUUCAAUGCAAAAACAACGAGGAAGAAAAU
rnacentral:ribozyme from 14 species